UACGUAGGGGGCGAGCGUUGACCGGAUUUACUGGGCGUAAAGGGCGCGCAGGCGGCUGGUCAAGUCCGAUGUGAAAGCUCCCGGCUUAACUGGGAAACGGCAUCGGAAACUGAUCGGCUUGAAGGUGGGAGAGGGUAGUGGAAUUCCCGGUGUAGUGGUGAAAUGCGUAGAUAUCGGGAGGAACACCAAUUGCGAAGGCAGCUCGCUGGAACGUUACUGACGCUGAGACGCGAAAGCGUGGGGAGCAAACAGG
rnacentral:rRNA from 1 species